UACAUUUGUGUGAGUAUGUGUUUAACUUGUAACCAAAGACUUAAAGUUGAGUACAAAAGUAAAACUUCCUUUGCAAUACAGAACUCACUGGUCAGCAUGAGCUCUGAUACACAUAACCAAUGUGGUA